CCCCCCUCACUCUCCCAGGUUCCAGCGUGCCGGUCCCCCCCUCCCAGGCUACAGAUUAGAACAUGCUUCUAACAGCUGUUGGACUGACAGCCACUAAAUACACCUCUGCCUUUAGUGGCUCUUUUACCUAUUGGUAUAUACAGUAUCUCACAAAAAUCAAGUGACAACUGACUAGAAGAGGGAAAAAAG